rnacentral:rRNA from 1 species
AUUGAACGCUGGCGGCAGGCCUAACACAUGCAAGUCGAGCGAGCGGCGGACGGGUGAGUAAUGUCUGGGAAACUGCCUGUUGGAGGGGGAUAACUACUGGAAACGGUAGCUAAUACCGCAUACUAUCAGAUGUGCCCAGAUGGGAUUAGCUAGUGGGUGGGGUAACGGCUCACCUAGGCAACGAUCCCUAGCUGGUCUGCGAGGCUGACCAGACAAACUGGAACUGAGACACGGCCCAGAAUCCUACGGGAGGCAGCAGGGGGGAAUAUUGCAAAAUGGGGGCAAGCCUGAUGCAGCCAGGCCGCGUGAGUGAAGAAGGCCUUCGGGUUGUAAAGCACUUUCAGCGGGGAGGCGUUACCCAAAGAAGAAGCACCGGCUAACUCCGUGCCAGCAGCCGCGGUAAUAC